CUACCGCCGGGGCAGGAGCGGUGGGAAUACGGGGGGUGCAAGGGUUAUCCGGAAUUACUGGGGGUAAAGAGUUGCGUAGGUGGCAUCGUAAGUCGGUAGUGAAAGCGUGUGGCUCAACCACAUACCCAUUAUUGAAACUGCGAAGCUAGAGGACGAGAGAGGUACCUGGAAUUCCUAGUGUAGGAGUGAAAUCCGUAGAUAUUAGGAGGAACACCGAUGGCGUAGGCAGGGUACUGGCUCGUUCCUGACACUGAGGCACGAAAGCGUGGGGAGCGAACGGGAUUAGAUACCCUUGUAGUC
rnacentral:rRNA from 1 species